CUUUUCUUAUUGAUACGUAUAUGUUCAGGUCAGAAACAAUUUUGCAGCCACUGUGAUGUUAUUCAUAGAGAAGCACCAAACUAGAUGAAUCCAGGAGAUGUGAGCACUGGUGUGAGCUCUAUUUAACAGUCCUUUACUAUACUAACAUGAGAGGAAUGGCACUUACAAACACUUGAAACUGAAGUAUAAAGAGAUGCAUGCUUAUAUAAGAAAAUGCUAUAAUUGGAGUGCGCUGGAGCAGAGCACAGUGCACAGAACACUUAAGUAUUUUUAUAGCCUGGACUGGGAGAACAUGGAACAUAUCAAGUCGGAAAAAGAUAAGAAGGUUGACCAGAGGUGCGAUGCUAUAUCACUGAAAUCAAAGUAUGAAUAUUUACCAAAGGAAAGAGAACAUUGGCUAUUGUUUCCAAGAUCAGUAAGGCUUUGCUACCGGCAAUUGCAUGAAAGCUCUAUGGGACAAAUUUUACAAAUUCAAGUUGGAGAAUACUAGAGGACUACUGGCAGUUUUGUAUUUUAGCACAGUUACUAAAGGUUUAACGGACACAUUUAUCUAUGCAAAUCAAUGAGUGAGUUGGUGAAUGGUGUUUGACUGCAUUUAGCACUAUUCUGUUGGGGAGUAUGGGGUUCACUUAGAUAGCAGAAGUGACAAUAGCUUUUCCACCUGUAGAGGCAGUAAUACUAAGGGGUAUAAGGGGUAUAUUUAUCAUGCUGUGUAAAAAGUGGAGUAAAACA